AGGCAGUAACUCCUGCCAGGUGGAACCGNAACUCGGGACUUCGGCCUGGUGAGCANAGUGGAGCAACGGGUGAGUAAUGUAUCGGAACGUGCCCAGUAGCGGGGGAUAACUACGCGAAAGCGUGGCUAAUACCGCAUACGCCCUACGGGGGAAAGCGGGGGACCUUCGGGCCUCGCACUAUUGGAGCGGCCGAUAUCGGAUUAGCUAGUUGGUGGGGUAACGGCCUACCAAGGCGACGAUCCGUAGCUGGUUUGAGAGGACGACCAGCCACACUGGGACUGAGACACGGCCCAGACUCCUACGGGAGGCAGCAGUGGGGAAUUUUGGACAAUGGGGGCAACCCUGAUCCAGCCAUCCCGCGUGUGCGAUGAAGGCCUUCGGGUUGUAAAGCACUUUUGGCAGGAAAGAAACGGCACGGGCUAAUAUCCUGUGCAACUGACGGUACCUGCAGAAUAAGCACCGGCUAACUACGUGCCAGCAGCCGCGGUAAUACGUAGGGUGCAAGCGUUUAUCGGAAUUACUGGGCGUUAAAGCGUGCGCAGGCGGUUCGGAAAGAAGAUGUGAAAUCCCAGGCUUAACCUUGGACUGCAUUUUUACU
rnacentral:rRNA from 1 species